AUUUGCCUCGCCUCGCCAGCAAGUGUUGUUCUUGUUGCAAACCCGUGCGUCCCGCAGCUCUGCCAGGAGAACCCAACGCUCGUGUCUCCGUGGAAAAGUCCGAAAAACCGGGCCCUGGCCCCGAGCGGUAGCCACCCGGCUCUCCCAAAGUUCUGCCCAACCCACACCAAACUCCCACCCUUGACGGGAGUACUCUUCGGAGUCGACCUUGGUGUGGGGCCGAGAUUUUUUUUCCCUUUUGGAGUCGUUGAAGCAUCCACCUGGCCGGCGACAUAACCUCCACCGGCCAUAACCCUUGCGCCAUAUCUAACGUACGCGCAUAGAGGGCAUAGAGAUCACCCCCCCCCCCCUAUGCGCCGCUAACUCGCUAUCUGCGACGGCCUUGAAGAUGCCGCCACGGAUCCGGACCCAGAUUUCGUAGCAUAGUGUAGUUUUGAUUGUAAUUUUUUUUGUUUCCUUCUGAGCACUUAUAUGACUAUGUAACUUUCCUUAACUCUGCGUCACAGUCCUACCUCGAUAGUCGGGAAUGUGAAAGUUCCCAAAACGGAAUUUAUUUUUGCGGGUUGGAGACCGAAAAACUUAAUCAUAAAGUAACAGACUACAAAAAAAAAA